rnacentral:rRNA from 1 species
UACGUAGGGUGCAAGCGUUGUCCGGAAUUAUUGGGCGUAAAGAGCUCGUAGGCGGUCUGUCGCGUCGGAUGUGAAACCUCGGGGCUCAACCCCGAGCCUGCAUUCGAUACGGGCAGACUAGAGUUCGGUAGGGGAGACUGGAAUUCCUGGUGUAGCGGUGAAAUGCGCAGAUAUCAGGAGGAACACCAGCGGCGAAGGCGGUGCUCUGGGCCGGAACUGACGCUGAGGAGCGAAAGCGUGGGGAGCGAACAGG